UUCGCAAUGCCCGAAAGGGUGACGAAGCGACGCCGCGUGUGGGAAGAAGGCCUUCGGGUUGUAAACCACUGUCGGGAGUUAAGAAAUGUAAGGGUGUUAAUAGCGCCUUUGCUUGACUAAGGCUCCGGAGGAAGCCACGGCUAACUCUGUGCCAGCAGCCGCGGUAAUACAGAGGCGGCAAGCGUUGUUCGGAAUUAUUGGGCGUAAAGAGCACGUAGGCGGCUGUGUAAGUCGGUUGUGAAAGCCUUCCGCUCAACGGAAGAACAGCAUCCGAUACUACAUGGCUUGAGUGCGGGAGGGGAGAGUGGAACUUCUGGUGGAGCGGUGAAAUGCGUAGAUAUCAGAAGGAACGCCGGCGGCGAAAGCGACUCUCUGGCCCGUAACUGACGCUGAGUGUGCGAAAGCUAGGGGAGCAAACGGGAUUAGAUACCCCGGUAGUCCUAGCCGUAAACGAUGGGCACUAAGUAGAGGGGUUUU
rnacentral:rRNA from 1 species